rnacentral:rRNA from 1 species
AGCGGCAACAGCUCAAAUUUGAAAUCUGGCCCCGUCCGCGGGGUCCGAGUUGUAAUUUGCAGAGGAUGCUUUCGGCGAGGCGCCUUCCGAGUGCCCUGGAACGGGCCGCCGCAGAGGGUGAGAGCCCCGUACGGUCGGACGCCGAGCCGGUGUAAAGCUCCCUCGACGAGUCGAGUAGUUUGGGAAUGCUGCUCUAAACGGGAGGUAAACCCCUUCUAAAGCUAAAUACCGGCCAGAGACCGAUAGCGCACAAGUAGAGUGAUCGAAAGAUGAAAAGUACUUUGAAAAGAGAGUCAAACAGCACGUGAAAUUGUUGAAAGGGAAGCGCUUGUGGCCAGACUUGCGCCCCGGCGGCUCAGCCGUCCCUCGUGGGCGGUGCACUCCGCCGGGCGCAGGCCAGCAUCAGCUCGUGGCGGGGGAGAAAGGCGGCGGGAACGUGGCUCUUCGGAGUGUUAUAGCCCGCCGCUACGCCCCACCGCGGGCUGAGGUACG